rnacentral:rRNA from 1 species
ACCGGAUGCGGAUCUCGAAAGCCUGUCCCAGUUCGGACUGGAGUCUGCAACCCGACUCCACGAAGUUGGAUUCGCUAGUAAUCGCGCAUCAGCCAUGGCGCGGUGAAUACGUUCCCGGGCCUUGUACACACCGCCCGUCAAGCCAUGGGAGCCGGGGGGCGCCUGAAGUCCGGGACCGCGAGGACCGGCCUAGGGCGAAACUGGUAACUGGGGCUAAGUCGUAACAAGGUAUC